UACGGAGGAUCCAAGCGUUAUCCGGAUUCAUUGGGUUUAAAGGGUGCGUAGGCGGAAUGAUAAGUCAGUGGUGAAAUCCUUCAGCUUAACUGGAGAACUGCCAUUGAUACUGUCAAUCUUGAGUACAUUUGAUGUGGGCGGAAUGUGUCAUGUAGCGGUGAAAUGCUUAGAUAUGACACAGAACACCGAUUGCGAAGGCAGCUCACAAAACUGUAACUGACGCUGAGGCUCGAAAGUGCGGGGAUCAAACAGG
rnacentral:rRNA from 1 species